rnacentral:rRNA from 1 species
AAGCUCGUAGUUGAAUUUCGGGAUCAGUACGUUGGUCGUGCCUUAGGUACGUACUGGUGUUACUGGUUCCUACCUUCUGACGAACCAUCAUGUCAUUAAUUUGGUGUGGCGGGGAAUCAGGACUGUUACUUUGAAAAAAUUAGAGUGUUUAAAGCAGGCUCGCGCUUGAAUACAUUAGCAUGGAAUAAUGAAAUAGGACGUUGAUCCUAUUUUGUUGGUUUCUAGGAUUGACGUAAUGAUUAAUAGGGAUAGUUGGG